rnacentral:rRNA from 1 species
CCUUUCAGAGUAACAAUUGGAGGGCAAGUCUGGUGCCAGCAGCCGCGGUAAUUCCAGCUCCAAUAGCGUAUAUUAAAGUUGUUGCAGUUAAAAAGCUCGUAGUUGGAUAUCUGCUGGAAGCAAUCAGUCCGCCCUAUUUGUAGGGUGUGCACUUGAUGAAUUCUGGCAUCUAUGUCCCGAUAAUAUAACGUGGAGGUCGUCCUCCCGUUUAUUGGGAACAUACUGUUACUUUGAGAAAAUUAGAGUGUUUGAAGCAGGCUAAUUGCCUUGAAUACUGCAGCAUGGAAUAACAAUAUAGGAUUUCGGUUCUAUUUUGUUGGUUUCUAGGACUGAAAUAAUGAUUAAUAGGGACAGUUGGGGGCAUUCGUAUUUAACUGUCAGAGGUGAAAUUCUUAGAUUUGUUAAAGACGAACUACUGCGAAAGCAUUUGCCAAAGAUGUUUUCAUUAAUCAAGAACGAAAGUUAGGGGCUCGAAGACGAUCAGAUACCGU